CUGAAGACAAGGCCAGACACAGAGUUCUUCCCUUUUCGCCUCUAGUCAACGGUCACAGGUUAGAAGAGACAAAGGACAGAUGACAAUUAAAUACUGUGUGGUGCCUGCAUGGAUCCUGGAGCAGACACAGAGCACUACUGGAAAACAUCUGAGGAAAUGCCUUCAUCGAUGUAUCUUCUAAGAGACUGCCUGAAGGUCCUGGGGAUGCUCAUUGGGAGGAUUCUGAUUUGGAUUCAGUGGCUUCACUCAAUGUUCCCAAACCUGGAGAUCAAUGAAAUAUAUACUUAUCUCUUUCACUCUCAUUAUCAUUGUACUAGUAGUUGAGAGUUACGCUGGGUGGUUUUUAACCACCACUCUCAGAA